rnacentral:SRP_RNA from 1 species
CUGCACUAGUCGGGGAGCCAGCGGUGCCCUGUAACCUGCAAUCCGCUACAGCAGGGAUGAAGUCCCAUUUUAGGGGGUACGUUAUGUCGUUUGCCCAAGGCGGGCAGCGUUGAUGAUCCGGUCUCGAGCAACGGAUCCUUCCGAACCAUGUCAGGCGGGGAACCGAGCAGCAUUAAGGGAGACCUUCCGUGUGCCUUGAGGCAGCCGGGUCUGAGUCAGCCACUUUGGUUAGCGGGCAUGAUGUAUUUUCGACGAUGGGUGUGCAG